rnacentral:lncRNA from 1 species
CCAGGUCUGCCACUCCUUGGGUGGCGGAACUGGCUCGGGCAUGGGCACUCUCCUGAUCAGCAAGAUUCGUGAGGAGUACCCUGACCGCAUGAUGUUGACCUUCUCGGUUGUGCCGUCACCAAAGGUGUCGGACACCGUCGUCGAGCCAUACAACGCAACUCUUUCGGUCCACCAGCUUGUCGAGAACGCCGAUGAGUGCAUGGUGCUCGAUAACGAGGC